UCACGGCAACGCCGGAUCCUUAACCCACUGAGCAAGGGCAGGGACCGAACCCGCAACUUCAUGGUUCCUAGUCGGAUUCGUUAACCACUGCGUCACGAGACGGGAACUCCUAACCUUACAUUUUAGUCCUUAUGGGCGUCUGAUCUCAUCUGUUAGGCGUAAAGCUCCCUAGAAAAACGAGGUCUGUACCUGAUUUCUCUUUGCAUCCUUCACAGAGUCUCCAACAGGGCCACUCAGUGAAUAUCCAUCCACAGCUCUGACUGAAUAAAAGUUUUGCGUGUGCUGAGUUCAUGAGUAACUGAAGCGUUUGAGGCUAAGAAGUAUCCUGGUACCUAUAAAAUUCUUAGGUAACUUACUAAUGGAUUAUUAUUGCUGAAUCUUUUAUAAAGUACUGCCAUGCCUUUCCCUAGGAUGUUGGUAUGUUUCAAAGUGAUGAUAGAGUCUUGAUUUGAUUUAACAUAUUGACUUUCUGAAGCAUAAGCUAUUAAAAUUAUAUAGCCUUAUUCCUAGAGGCAUUAAUUCUAACACUAUUUAUUUUUUUCCUUAAAACUUUUCUGCUGCUAACAGGCAGUUCAAUGUCCAAACUUGUAAAGAAUCACCUGGAGUUGCAGUUUGGAACCUACCACCCAGUGGCAAUUUCCACUGUUCCCUUUGGCUGUCUGAUUACUUGGAGUUGCAAAGUCUCUUUACCAGCAGCAGAAUUCUUACCUACGUGUUUCCACUGAAGAAAACGAUGAUAGCUUUUGUUGCUGCUGCCAUUCUUCCUCUACAUUGUUCCAAAUACUGUGUGAAUUCUCAGUGAGUCUGACGCGAGAGAGAGAGAGGAGUUCCCUGGCGAUCUCAUGAUCGUGGCUGGGACUCAGCCCUUUCACCGCUGUGGUCUGGGUUCAAUCCCUGGUCUGGGAACUGAGCUCCUACAUGCAGCCACUGCACACCUUGGCAGAGAGAGAGAGAGAGAGGAGAAAGAAAAGAAGGUGACUCAGCUGGUAGCUCAGAAUAGUAGCCUAGAGAAUUGUCCCAAGACUGGAGUAAGUGUGUGUUAAAAUUCUUACUUUCCUGCCAGUGUAUCUCUUUAGGAUGUAGCCUGACCUUUCCCGUCCUAGUCUUAGUGACUUUGCUAAUGUGUAUGCUUGUGUCGAGGUGGACCUAGAUUUUAUCUUGGGUUUUUUUUUUCUCCUUUCUCGUCCAACUCUGAAUUUCACCAUGCCGAUUUUGAAAAUGAUGUCAUGUACUUUGAGCAGUGACAGGGAAAUACUAAAGGGGUUUUAUUAACGUUGAUUCCGUUGUUGGUGUGCGUGCACCUGGACCUUUCCAGGCUGUAAGCAGAUCUGGCAGGCUCUGCGGGGCGGAGCUGCUUGCACAGAUGCCCUGGUUCUCCCGGCCUUGGUCCCCCGUGGCCAUGCUUCGUCAGCCCUGUCAGCAGAACAGACUCUCUGAUUCAAAAGAAAUCAUUUCAUCUGGGUGGCAGUGAACACUAGUGUUUACCGCCUGUAUAAAAUCUUCCCGCGGUGACCCCCUGCAGGGAUGGCUCUUGUUUCUCUGCCCCUGCCGAGCUUCCGCUGGCCAGCGGCUGACAUGGCACCAGGAAUGGGCUUAGUGUAGCUUCGGAUGUUUGCCCCUUCGUUAAAGAGGAGCACAAGAAAAAAGGACAGGAAAACUAGGUGUCAGCCGGACAGCGGUGUUCCCUCUCUCUGAGCCUUGAACCGUGCCUGAGACAAAUGUUCGGCCGUGCUUCUUCAUUUCCGACAGUCCUGAGGGUACUUUGCGGUAAUACUUAGAAAUGGGCCCUCUGACCCCAAGCUCCCAUCUGACCUGCCUCCUGAGGGAAGCCUCCGUUGCCCCGGGCUCCUCCACUGAAGAGGCCUCCCCUGCGAAUCUCACCCACGAUCUCUGCCCGGGGUGGAGCCCCACUGGGGGGGACCCCACCCCCACUCCGAGGGAGACGCCCCAGCCUGGGGGCAACAGCUUCCCCCUGUGGGAUAUUCCUGCCAACGCCCCCAGUCCUGCGCCUCAGGCUUCCCCACCAGACCCCUCAUCCUGUGGGGCCUCGGAAGCCCAGCGCUGCUCCUUCAGAGACCUGGAGAGAGACCCAGCCCAUCACUUCUGCCUCGGUCUCCUUUAGGAGAGACAGUUGAAAUCCAAACAGUCACCUUUCUGAUGAAUUUGGGAAGCAGUCUGUGUAUGACUUAGGGCCUGCGUGUGCUUACCUUGGGGAAGCGGGGCUGCAGACACAAGCUACAGUCUGACUGCUGAGGGAGCACUUGACAUUAUUUUUUUUACAAUUUAAUCCUUUAAAGAGAGGAAACUGCGGGCGGCUGCUUUUCCUCCAGUCAAGAAGCGCUUUGCUCCUUUACAGCCAAAGAGCUCAACUGCGAAAUGAACUCCGCAGGCUGAGGCGGGGCUGUAGGUCCUUUGGUGGCCAUUCGAGCCUUUCUCCAUGGCGCGUCCAUCAAAGAACAGCUGUUAAUUUGGAAGAGCUCAGCGGUCGCCACAGGCAGACACACGGGGCCAAGCCUGCAGCAUCCUAGUCCACCCUACAGCCCUUUCCUAGUCAAGCCCAGCAGGACGGGGAUUUAUAUGCAUCGCGUCCACUUGGCCUGAAAGGCUCCGCACCUUCCGCAGGGUGACUUGCAGAGAUGCUUCAGCAGGACUUUCUAAUUCCUACGAAAGGCCGGGAAGCCCAGGGAGGAUUGCGGCGUUUUCACAACUAAAGAAGAGAGGGAACACACACCCUCCACAAAACCCAAAACUCUCGGAAGAGAUUUCGCAAAGUCUCUUCUACCCGUUUCUCUGGACAAGUGUCGCUUUGUUUCGAGUGUUUCUCAUCCUCAAGGGGAGACCUGUGGAGACGGCCUCGGAGUCCCCAGAGAGCAGCAGGGUCUCCAAGGCGUGAGCUUUCCUUGCUGCGCUGAUACCAGAUAGUUGCUGGGGAGCAAGAUGGGUUCCUUCAUUUAAAUGAGAAUUACCUGGUUUGGCUUAAAGAAGCAAGAAUUAACUGUUAGCUCUAUCACUUAACCCACUGCUGGGAUGUGUCUAUCUUUUUUAAGGAAACCGAAUACAGUCUUGGCAGCCACAGCAGCAGUAGAGGGUGAGGGAAAGGAUGAGAAAGAUGACCCUUGGUUCUAAUUGAAAUGACAGCAGCAACGUCUGCAGAACGCACCAGUCUGCACUGAAAUGUUACCGCCAUCCCAAUUCGAGUCUGGGCCCUGCCUACCCAAAUGGUUAACCACAUCUUCACCCACCUUGCAAAGCAAUGUUGUGCCCACCUCCUUAGGUCCCACUCCGGGGACUCCAGUUCCGUAACAGGCUGCCCUCGCAAGGGAACGCACAGCUCCAGCAUCCUCAGGUGCCCAAGUCAUCGUCGCCCCUUCCCUCGGAGCUCUGCCAUUCGGGUCCACGCAGUGUUGACCCACUGAGAUGACGAGACGUCCUGGGGACAUCAUAAUCCUAGGGACGUGGCGGCCGAAAGGUCAGGUUACAAUUUUCCCAUCUUUUCCAAAAAGCCUUUCUCAAGCUAAGGCGUGUUCAGUAUUGUAAUCAAAAUAUACUCAACAUUCAAACGUGUACAUUUCUGAAGCAAAGUAUUUUCUAUUAUGAGGGUCAUUACAGUAUUAAAGAUAGGGAGUCAGAGGGAAGAAAAAAAAAACAUGUGGGAACCAAGAGAGGUAACGGAAGAUUAGUUUUCCAAAUCGAAAUUCUAUUCAAUAUGCCACCGUUUUCUUAUUGACUAAUGCCUGCUUCUCAAAGAUCUCAAGAUACUUUACCAAAACUACCUUUGUAUUAUUGUGGUCCUAGGUUCUGAAUUUUGUAACUUCCAAAAUGAGCUUUUUCCCAAUAACACGAGAGAAUCCCUUAAUCUUUUAUAGCAGAUCCGUGAAGCAUCAUUUGGGAGAAUAAUGCUGUCCUUUUCCGUGGACCCAUGUUGCCGUUGCCUAAUCUAACCUUCCGAGGAGGAGACCCCAGACUCUAUAGGGUGGGAAGGGGCAUGAGCGUCCUCAGGCCCCGUUCUCCUUAGGGAAUGUGUUUUCACUGCAGUGCUGGAAAACACGGAGAAAGAAGCGGGGCAACACGGAAUUAACUGGUUGUGUUGCACGUCACGAAGCAGGGUUGCCAGAAUCAGGAGGACCUCAGAUCCAGCGUGAGCCCCACACAACUGGGAGAGUUACAGACUGAGCGACUCUUGGGUGAAGACAUGUCUGCAGCACACAUAGAUACCUCGGGAAGACACGUGUCUAAUUCAGUUUCCCUCAGCCGGUUCUGAACAAAUGCUUGUACCUAUUAAGGGAACAAAGCCUGUUCCUGAAAGACGCCCUGUAGUUCUCCUGGCCUGAGGUUUCUCUCUCGGGCUCUAACGGAGGUAACCCCAUUUUAACGUGCCUGUUGUCUAUCGAAGUGGGUGUCAGGGUCCUUUGCCCUCCCAGGUGAUGGCUUCCGAGGAUAAGCGACACAGAGGUACCAGGAUGGUCGCCUGCUCCAGAAACCUGCUGGGUUCUACAGAGGCUCUAAAGCUAAGGUUGCCCCUUUAAGGUGUGUGAGUGGAGGAGACUGUGAAUCAAAUAUGGAGCUUCCUGUUGACCGUGACUUUGACAUUGAAAUGCGAUUCCUUGUUUGCCCUCUGCUGUAAGCUCAGAAAUGGAGCAGAACCCGUUCAUUAAGACACUGGCGGCUUAAGACUUUUUAGCCACGGAUGGUUUCCAAUCAACGCCACCUCUUGGGAACAUUCUUUGUCAUUGUGAAGCUCACCUGGGGGUGGACAGAAAGAUUUGAACAAACAUGGUCAUUUCUUCCCCACUCUUUCUGGCCUCGCUUUUGAGAUCUGAAGGCAAGACUUUUGUGGACUCUGUCAAUGCUUAGACUCCUCGAUGAAGCCAUGGAAAAUGUGGGGUCAGGGAUGAUACACUUUAAGGACAUACCUAGAAAAUAGCUUCAUCAGCAGGCAUCAUCUCCGCUUCACCCACGCGCAGGCUUUGAACAGUCAGCCCACCAGCAAGCGGCUAAACCCUGAGGAGUAAAUAAUAACACAAUCCUUCAUGGGUUUUUUUAGGUUAUUUUUGGCCCUUGGUGUCCCAGAUAGAGAAGUACACGCAGGAGACGAUUUGUUUGUAUGUUGGACUCUUUGCCCUGUGUGGAAUUAUUU